UGGCGAGCUAGGCUAGGGGGUUAGCGGUCCCUUCUCGCGAAAAUCCGCUAUACGUCGGGCUGAAGCUUGGAAGAGGCGUUCGGAACCAUUCGCCAGCUUGGCUCGCGUCUGAGAAGUCUCGUCCUGCAGGGUUGGCGGUGACGGAACCUCGAUCGUAGGGUUGGGGUAAACCGUUUUUGCCUGCCGAAACCCGCCAGGGGCGGAAGAUUGGGGAAGCUAAAAGCUUCUUCAAGCCGAAUCAGCAGCGGUAGGUAGGACGUUCGACGCUUGCAGGGUUGCGGGAUGGAGAUUGUGAGUCAAGUGUCGGUGAGUGGCGAAGGCGUCCACUCUGAGCAUGCUCGCCA
rnacentral:SRP_RNA from 1 species